AACGGCGGUUGCACAUUUCACAUCUGCCCCAGAAGCAGGGCUCACCUUCUGAUUGAUCCAUAGCUGCUUUGUCAAGAAGAAACCAACCCUUCAGCAAUGGUAUAAAACAAGCUGUUCUCUUCAAAGCCUCAUUCUGUUCAGUGGGACUGUCAUCAGCUGGCUCCUGAGAGCACCCCCUGUCUGUGACGGUGAGUUCCCAGCUGACGGUGAGCCAUGAAGAUCCUUUAUCUGCUCUCUGCUCUCAUCUUCGUGCUGCUGCUGGGUGCCCCAGGAUCCUCUGAGGCUCGCAGCUCCAGGAGACGAUGUAGACGUAGCGGGGGUAUCUGUGUCAGUGGACCAUGUCGUGACAAUUAUAAGUUGGUUGGAAUAUGCUCUCGAAGAUACAGCUGCUGUAAAUUGCGAGAUUUUGACUGAUUGUCUAGGCAGGAUCUCCGGGAAUCUGGCAGGCAGACACGUGCUUCUAAAAUCAUCCAACCCUGCUUCAGUGGAAUGCUAAAGUGCUGUUUAUCUGGGCUGUAAAGACCCUUGUGAGCUGAAGGCAUUGCAGAAGAGAACCCAAGCAUCCCCCUUAUACAAUGCGUUACUUUUCCUUUUAAUAAAAGCAAAGUGGUUCAAGGUC